AUCGCUUCUCAGCCUUUUGGCUAAGAUCAAGUGUAGAAUCUCUCUUUGACUUUUGCCAUUUUAAUUAUGAUAUGUCUUGGUGUGGGUCUUAUUUGGGACCUUCUGUGAUUCCUGUACCUGGCUAUGUUUCCUUCUUUAGGUGUGGGAAGUUUUCAGCCAUAAUUU
rnacentral:snRNA from 1 species